UAAUAUAUCACUUAUUUUUGUUAAUGGCA
rnacentral:piRNA from 1 species